CAGAGGGGGCAAGCGUUGUUCGGAAUUACUGGGCGUAAAGGGCGCGUAGGCGGCCUUCUAAGUCAGACGUGAAAUCCCUCGGCUCAACCGGGGAACUGCGUCUGAGACUGGAAGGCUUGAAUCCGGGAGAGGGAUGUGGAAUUCCAGGUGUAGCGGUGAAAUGCGUAGAUAUCUGGAGGAACACCGGUGGCGAAGGCGGCAUCCUGGACCGGUAUUGACGCUGAGGCGCGAAAGCCAGGGGAGCAAACGGGAUUAGAUACCCCGGUAGUCCUGGCCCUAAACGAUGAAUGCUUGGUGUGGCGGGUAUCGAUCCCUGCCGUGCCGAAGCUAACGCAUUAAGCAUUCCGCCUGGGGAGUACGGUCGCAAGGCUG
rnacentral:rRNA from 1 species